rnacentral:tRNA from 1 species
UCCCUGGUGAUCUAAUGGUUAAGACUCAGUGCUUCCACUGCAGGGAACACAGGUUCGAUCCCUGGUCAGGGAA